rnacentral:rRNA from 1 species
UACAGAGGUCUCAAGCGUUGUUCGGAUUCAUUGGGCGUAAAGCGCGCGUAGGCGGCUCGAUCAGUCUGCUGUAAAAAGUCAAAGGCUCAACCUUUGAAUGCCGGUGGAUACUGUCGGGCUAGAGUCCGGAAGAGGCGAGUGGAAUUCCUGGUGUAGCGGUGGAAUGCGCAGAUAUCAGGAGGAACACCAACGGCGAAGGCAGCUCGCUGGGACGGUACUGACGCUAAGGCGCGAAAGCGUGGGGAGCGAACAGG